GACCCCUGGCAAUGGGCAAAGAGACACCUUGUUGGCGAUGUCGUUCUUAUAUCAGUAGGGGCAGAGCAGAUGGCAGUCCUAUUUUCAUUUUAGCUUGAUGCCUGGCUUGGUGGCCAAAGCUGUUUGAUGCCUAGGACUCAUCA